rnacentral:rRNA from 4 species
AGGCUUAACACAUGCAAGUCGAGCGGGCGUAGCAAUACGUCAGCGGCAGACGGGUGAGUAACGCGUGGGAACAUACCUUUUGGUUCGGAACAACACAGGGAAACUUGUGCUAAUACCGGAUAAGCCCUUACGGGGAAAGAUUUAUCGCCGAAAGAUUGGCCCGCGUCUGAUUAGCUAGUUGGUGAGGUAAUGGCUCACCAAGGCGACGAUCAGUAGCUGGUCUGAGAGGAUGAUCAGCCACAUUGGGACUGAGACACGGCCCAA